GACGAACGCUGGCGGCGUGCUUAACACAUGCAAGUCGAGCGGUAAGGCCCUUUCGGGGGUACACGAGCGGCGAACGGGUGAGUAACACGUGGGUGACCUGCCCUCAGCUCUGGGAUAAGCCUGGGAAACCGGGUCUAAUACUGGAUAUGACUCCAUGACGCAUGUUGUGGGGUGGAAAGCCUUGUGCGGCUGAGGAUGGGCCCGCGGCCUAAUCAGCUUGUUGGUGGGGUGAGGCCUACCAAGGCGACGACGGGUAGCCGGCCUGAGAGGCGACCGGCCACACUGGGACUGAGACACGGCCAGACUCCUACGGGAGGCAGCAGUGGGGAAUCUUGCGCAAUGGGCGAAAGCCUGAACGCAGCGACGCCGCGUGAGGGAUGAC
rnacentral:rRNA from 1 species